rnacentral:lncRNA from 1 species
CCGGGCCGCCGCCGUGAGCUGGGUUUCCCCGGCUCCGUGCGGGAGCAGGUGUCCGUGUCCUCCCCGGCGGGGCUGGAAGUGCCGGCAAAGGAUUCGCUCCCGCCUGGCGCCGCUCUUCGCGUAGGGUUUGGAGCUGCGGGCCGUCCCUCUCUCUUUCUCCUUCCUUCUCUCCUUUCCUUCCUCGCCCCCGCGGCCCGGGUGGGACCGUUCGUCUCUUCCCAAAACCCGCCGUGUUCCCCCUGUGCCAGGAACAUGCUCCGGGCGCUCCGCGCUGGCUACUACCCUGUGUGUGUGUCAUCUGUCCCAGCCCAUACGCGCAGUUCUAUCCCAGGAAAGAAGGGGGAAGCUCUAAAUGGUCCAGAUUAGUUCUGUUUCAGGGCUAUGUGCGUAAUCUUCUGGCGGCUUUUAUGUUUCCCGGGGGAAACUUGGAGAACAAUUGUUUCUUUCCACGCUGUACUUUUGCUCCCAAGUUAAAAAUAGGAUCAUUAGCCUGGAGAUUUAAGGGUAGAGUGUAACCGAAGGCGAGGCACAAAUUCCUUAAAUAGAGGGAACAAAAAUAAAAAUGAUUUUGUGAAGCUAAAACAAUAGUUUGCAAUCUUUCUGCAGUUUUCCCAGAGUUUUUUUUAUCAUCUAAAGACUGAAUAUGGACCCUGAAACUGAGAUAAAGAAGCAAGUAAACCCUUUCUACUGCAACAUUUGCAAAAUCUGGUGUGCUUCUGCAUUAAACUUGCAGACUCACUUCCUUGGAUUCAAACACAAGACGGUUGAAGAAGCACUGAAAGCUCAUGGCGUUGUUAAAACACCCAGUGGCUCUGGGAAGCAAGUGAAAACACCUGUAAAACUUCCUGAUUAUGUGCAAACUGAGCCAGAGAGGUUUCAUGGACAGACAUUGGAAGAACAGCUUAAUACAUGUAAAGAUUCAGAACCUGCACUUGGUGAGGGCUUUUAAUACUGUAGUUGUUCGCUUGUGGGAUAUUUACCUUUAAAGGGUAUGGAUUAGUUGUUUAAAAUGU